UGGAGAAAGGCUCCGGCUAACUUACGCCCCAUCACUGAAGGGAGAAGAAGGAGAAGAAGAGAGAUGGGCGAUCUAUUUGCUUGGCUCAUCUCCUUCUUCCUCCUCAUUGCCUUGCUUGUCCUAGUCACUUACCAGUUAAUGUGCCUAGCAGACCUAGAAUUUGAUUAUAUAAAUCCUUAUGACUCCUCUUCUCGAAUAAAUGUGGUGGUUUUGCCCGAGUUUGCUACGCAAGCUGCCCUAUGGUUCUUCUACCUUGUUACUCAGCAUUGGAUAAUGGCACUCUUCUGCGCUCCUUAUCUUUUGUUCAACAUUCGAUUGUACAGGCAAAGAAGGCAUUUGAUUGAUGUAACUGAGAUAUUCAACCAGCUCCACUGGGAAAAGAAGCAACGGCUAGUCAAAUUCUUCUACCUUGUCUUUACCCUUUUCCUCUCAGUAUUUUGGAUGAUUUACUCAUCACUGGAGUAGCAAUUGUAGUUGAUUGCUUGAAUUAUGGGGUUCUGCAAACUCCCAGAAGCUUGCCGUAGAGAACAGUUAAUUACUUCUCACACUGUAAUCAUGAACUUUAGAGGCGCAUAUCGGUUCAAGAUUCUUCCCAGAAGCAGCCAAUAAUAAUCUUUUGCACGACAAUUAAAUAAAACAAUGUAAUCAAAGACAAGGCAGUGUGCAACUUGGAUUGUAACGUUUAACGAAAAAACAUUGUUGGCUAGCUGAAAUGGGAGCCUAAUUUAUGUGCAACUUGGUGACUUGUCAUUAUCGUUAUAUCAGAUUAUCAGGUCACUCAUAUGAAAAGGAAAACAACAUCUGUUACUGACAUCAUUUUCUUAACUGUUAUUUCCUUGGCUUUGCAUCAUUGUUCAUACUCCAAACGUAUGCUUUCUGCAAAUGCAACGACACAAAUGUCUCCAAAAGGGUAAGGCGGCUUGCUGCUACCGAAAAUCAGUAAAAUAUUUUAUGUAUGAACAGUCAUCAAAGUUUCACACCGGAAAUAACUUGUUUGACUGUCCAAUCUUUUAUAUAUAUGUCUUCUAAAUUU